rnacentral:rRNA from 1 species
GACGAACGCUGGCGGCGUGCUUAACACAUGCAAGUCGAACGGGAAGGCCCUGCUUUUGUGGGGUGCUCGAGUGGCGAACGGGUGAGUAACACGUGAGUAACCUGCCCUUGACUUUGGGAUAACUUCAGGAAACUGGGGCUAAUACCGGAUAGGAGCUCCUGCUGCAUGGUGGGGGUUGGAAAGUUUCGGCGGUUGGGGAUGGACUCGCGGCUUAUCAGCUUGUUGGUGGGGUAGUGGCUUACCAAGGCUUUGACGGGUAGCCGGCCUGAGAGGGUGACCGGCCACAUUGGGACUGAGAUACGGCCCAGACUCCUACGGGAGGCAGCAGUGGGGAAUAUUGCACAAUGGGCGGAAGCCUGAUGCAGCAACGCCGCGUGCGGGAUGACGGCCUUCGGGUUGUAAACCGCUUUCGCCUGUGACGACGCGUGAGUGACGGUAAUGGGUAAAGAAGCACCGGCUAACUACGUG